GAUGAACGCUGGCGGCGUGCCUAAUACAUGCAAGUCGAGCGAAAAGAUGAGAGGCUUGCUCCUCUGACGUUAGCGGGGGACGGGUGAGUAACACGUGGAUAACCUACCUCUAAUACUUGGAUAACUUCGUGAAACCGGAGCUAAUACCGGAUAAUAUAUUGAACCGCAUGGUUCAAUAGUGAAAGACGGUUUUGCUGUCACUUAUAGAUGAAUCCGCGCCGGAUUAGCUAGUUGGUAAGGUAACGGCUUACCAAGGCAACGAUGCGUAGCCGACCUGAGAGGGUGAUCGGCCACACUGGAACUGAGACACGGUCCAGACUCCUACGGGAGGCAGCAGUAGGGAAUCUUCCGCAAUGGGCGAAAGCCUGACGGAGCAACGCCGCGUGAGUGAUGAAGGUCUUCGGAUCGUAAAACUCUGUUAUUAGGGAAGAACAAAUGUGUAAGUAACUAUGCACGUCUUGACGGUACCUAAUCAGAAAGCCACGGCUAACUACGUG
rnacentral:rRNA from 1 species